AGGCCUGAUCCAGCACCCACUGAAGUCAAUAGGAACUCCCAUGGACUUUGUUGCAUCUGAAGAAUUAGGCAUGGAACCUGUUGCAAGAAAGAUCUUCAAAGGAGUUUUACUUUUGGAAGUGGCUGGGGUUGCUGGAGCAUAUUCACUAUUUUACAGAAUGGACACAAAUCAAGAUUUUAGGCAUACAAUGAACAGGAGAUUUCCAUCCAUUCUGGAAGUUUAUUACAAAAGCAAUGAAUGGGCUGGAGUUUAUGGAAAAAGGGAGGAGGACCAACUGAAAUGGCUAAGCAGCAAAAAUUAGAAGCCUUUGUGUUUGAACUGUUUUUUCUUCUUGAUAAUAUUUUUCACAUCUCUGUUGUGAAGCCAAUUGUCACGCUCUGCUUCCCACUUGAGCUGUUUGACACCUACAAGGGAAGAGGAGGGGAUAACUUAUACUUACCUCUUCUGCAGCAGAAAGCAUGCUGAUGUCUUUGAGUUUUCUUUUCUUUUGCUGCUUUGAUCCUUCAAAUAGAAAAAAGUUAUUAAAUUGUAAUCAACAGCUAAAAUUCUACAUUCUCCCAGGCGGCACCACCACCAGACAAAAAAAAUCAUCCUUUAAUAACAUUGUCCAAAGUAUCUGAUUUCUAUUAGAAAGCUCCUAGAAAAGCAUCUAUUUAAUACAUCGAAGUAGCUAGAAUGUAACUAGAAGAUAGAAAAAUCCUCCAUCAUUUCACUGCAGAGAGAGAUAUGUGAACAGAUUUGUUUAAUAAUGUAAUACAUAUAUUGUAAUAGCAAUCUAAAGACCCAAUCAGGAUCAAGGCCCCCUAGUGCUUACAGUUGAAGACAAGUGAAAGAUGAAGGGUCAAAGGAGAGAGCUACAAUCGAAAAUAUACAAUUUUCACAUACAUGUUAGCAUUUAUAAUAAAAUGAAAGUGUUAAUUAUCUGAUAACUCCAUCUGUCCCUCAAGCAGUCAUUAAAUUGGCUGACUUCUAAUCAGUGCUGCAGCACAAAUGGGUCUUGAGAGUAAUAACUCUUCUGGAGUCAUUCAGGGAGAAGAUUUCAAUAGCACUGACUAGCACACAGAAGGAACUGAUCUCAUAAAAGUGGUCUGCUAGUGUUUGUAACAAAAAUACACUAGAAAGUUUAAAAUCUACAUAGUUUAGUAUAAAAAAAUUGGAGAUUAGUUCUCUCAGAGAGAAGGGAUGGCUGAUAAGAUCGGGGAUUGUGUGCCAGUAUUUUUUUCCUCCCAAAAAGGAUUGCCUUAGUAAAAGCAUACAGAAUCAAAGCCUAAUGGCUAGGGCCCUACCAAAUUCACAGCCAUGAAAAACAUGUCACAAAUUGUUAAAUCUGGUCUUUUGUGUGUUUUUACCCUAUACUCCCCUGUAAAAUCUGUAUAAACCAGUGUUUCUCAAAUUGGGAGUUCAGACCCAAAAGGGAGUUGCAGGAGGUCACAAGGUUAUUUUAGGGGGUCGUGGUAUUGCCACCCUUACUUCAGGACAGCUGGAGAGUGGCUGCUGCUGGCCAGGAGCCCAGCUCUGAAGGCAGUGCCCUGCAAGCAGCAGUCAAGGUGGCAAUACCAUACCAUGCCACUCUUACUUCUGUGCUGCUGCUAUCAAAGCUGGGCAGCUGGAGAGUGGCGGCUGCUGACUGAGGGCCCAGCCGUUUUGUUGGGAGUCACGAACAACCUCCAUUCCUGAGGUGUUCAAUUAUUCUGAGCUUCUACUGUAUGUUUUUAGCUCUCAAGCUUUAAGGGGGUCGGAUACGUUGACUCUUUAAUAUUUUGGUUAAAGGAUGUGUGUGUUAGUCACCCUUCCUUCAGAUGCUCAACUUUCACUUAGUUCUUGUGAUGUCCUUAUUUCUCCAGCUUUCCAGUCAUCAAAACCUGAAUUUCUAAUGUACACAACAAGCAAA